GGUGAAAAGAACCCCGGGAGGGGAGUGAAAUAGAACCUGAAACCGUGUGCCUACAACCGCUCAGAGCCCCUUAUGAGGGUGAUGAGGUGCUUUUUGUAGAACGAGCCAACGAGUUACGGUAUGUAGCAAGGUUAAGUACUUAAGGUACGGAGCCGAAGGGAAACCGAGUCUGAAUAGGGCGACUAGUUGCAUGCCGUAGACCCGAAACCGGGUGACCUAUCCAUGGCCAGGUUGAAGCGAGGGUAAAACCUCGUGGAGGACCGAACCACGUUGCUGUUGAAAAAGCAUGGGAUGAGCUGUGGAUAGCGGAGAAAUUCCAAUCGAACCCGGAGAUAGCUGGUUCUCUCCGAAAUAGCUUUAGGGCUAGCGUCGAGUAUGAGUAGUGGAGGUAGAGCACUGAAUGGGCUAGGGGGCAUAGCGCUUACCGAACCUUAUCAAACUCCGAAUGCCACAUACUUUGAGCUCGGCAGUCAGACUACGAAUGAUAAGAUCCGUGGUCAAAAGGGAAACAGCCCAGAUCGUCAGCUAAGGUCCCAAAGUGUAAGUUAAGUGGGAAAGGAUGUGAGAUUUCUAAGACAACUAGGAUGUUGGCUUAGAAGCAGCCAUUCAUUAAAAGAGUGCGUAAUAGCUCACUAGUCGAGAGAUCUUGCGCCGAAAAUGUAACGGGGCUAAACUUACCACCGAAGCUACGGGCUUGAACUUAGUUCAAGCGGUAGGAGAGCGUCGUAACCGGGCUGAAGUCGUACCGUAAGGAGCGGUGGACUGGUUACGAGUGAGAAUGUUGGCAUCAGUAGCGAGAUGUGGGUGAGAAUCCCACAGGCCGAAAACCUAAGGUUUCCUCAGGAAGGUUCGUCCGCUGAGGGUUAGUCGGGACCUAAGCCGAGGCCGAAAGGCGUAGGUGAUGGACAACUGGUUGAUAUUCCAGUACCACUACCAUCGUUAUUAUCGAUGGCGUGACGCAGGAGGAUAGUGUGUGCUAGCUAUUGGAUGCUAGUCUAAGCGUUUAGGCAGUGAGAGUAGGCAAAUCCGCUCUCAUAAUGCUGAGGCGUGAUGGGGAAGGUUCUACGGAACCGAAGUACAUGAUUCCACGCUGCCAAGAAAAGCGUCUAGAGAGAGAAGUAGUGCCCGUACCGCAAACCGACACAGGUAGGUGAGGAGAGAAUCCUAAGGCCGGCGGAAGAAUUACAGUUAAGGAACUCGGCAAAUUGACCCCGUAAGUUCGCGAGAAGGGGUGCCUACGAGAGUAGGCCGCAGAGAAUAGGCCCAAGCAACUGUUUAGCAAAAACACAGGUCUCUGCUAAAGCGUAAGCUGAUGUAUAGGGGCUGACGCCUGCCCGGUGCUGGAAGGUUAAGGGGAACACUUAGCGCAAGCGAAGGUGUGAACUUAAGCCCCAGUAAACGGCGGCCGUAACUAUAACGGUCCUAAGGUAGCGAAAUUCCUUGUCAGGUAAGUUCUGACCCGCACGAAUGGCGUAAUGACUUGGGCACUGUCUCAACUGUAAAUCCGGCGAAGUUGUAGUGCGAGUGAAGAUGCUCGCUACCCGCGAUUGGACGGAAAGACCCCGUAGAGCUUUACUGUAGCUUAGCAUUGAGUUUUGGUAUUGUCUGUACAGGAUAGGUGGGAGACUAGGAAACCAGGGCGUCAGCCUUGGUGGAGUCAACCUUGGGAUACCACCCUGACAGUACUGAAAUUCUAACUGGCGGCCAUGAAUCUGGUCACAGGACAUUGUUAGGUGGGCAGUUUGACUGGGGCGGUCGCCUCCUAAAAAGUAACGGAGGCGCCCAAAGGUUCCCUCAGAACGGUCGGAAAUCGUUCGAAGAGUGCAAAGGCAGAAGGGAGCCUGACUGCGACACCCACAAGUGGAGCAGGGACGAAAGUCGGGCUUAGUGAUCCGGUGGUACCUCGUGGGAGGGCCAUCGCUCAACGGAUAAAAGCUACCUCGGGGAUAACAGGCUGAUCUCCCCCAAGAGUCCACAUCGACGGGGAGGUUUGGCACCUCGAUGUCGGCUCGUCGCAUCCUGGGGCUGAAGUAGGUCCCAAGGGUUGGGCUGUUCGCCCAUUAAAGCGGCACGCGAGCUGGGUUCAGAACGUCGUGAGACAGUUCGGUCCCUAUCCGUCGCGGGCGUAGGAAAUUUGAGAGGAGCUGUCCUUAGUACGAGAGGACCGGGAUGGACUGACCUCUGGUGUACCAGUUGUUCCGCCAGGAGCACAGCUGGGUAGCUAAGUCGGGAAUGGAUAAACGCUGAAAGCAUCUAAGCGUGAAGCCAACCUCAAGAUGAGAUUUCCCAUAGCGUAAGCUAGUAAGAUCCCUUGAAGAACACAAGGUUGAUAGGUCGGGGGUGUAAGCAUGGUAACAUGUUCAGCUGACCGAUACUAAU
rnacentral:rRNA from 1 species